UAACGGCGCAGUGAAAGCGGCAACAGCUCAAAUUUGAAAUCUGGCUCUCGGGCCCGAGUUGUAAUUUGUAGAGGAUACUUUUGAUGCGGUGCCUUCCGAGUUCCCUGGAACGGGACGCCAUAGAGGGUGAGAGCCCCGUCUGGUUGGAUGCCAAAUCUCUGUAAAGUUCCUUCGACGAGUCGAGUAGUUUGGGAAUGCUGCUCUAAAUGGGAGGUAUAUGUCUUCUAAAGCUAAAUACCGGCCAGAGACCGAUAGCGCACAAGUAGAGUGAUCGAAAGAUGAAAAGCACUUUGAAAAGAGAGUUAAAAAGUACGUGAAAUUGUUGAAAGGGAAGCGUUUAUGACCAGACUUGGGCUUGGUUGAUCAUCUGGGGUUCUCCCCAGUGCACUCUUCCAGUCCAGGCCAGCAUCAGUUUUCCCCGGGGGAUAAAGACUUCGGGAAUGUGGCUCUCUUCGGGGAGUGUUAUAGCCCGUUGUGUAAUACCCUGGGGGGGACUGAGGUUCGCGCAUCUGCAAGGAUGCUGGCGUAAUGGUCAUCAACGACCCGUCUUGAAACACGGACCAAGGAGUCGUCUUCGUAUGCGAGUGUUCGGGUGUCAAACCCCUACGCGUAAUGAAAGUGAACGCAGGUGAGAGCUUCGGCGCAUCAUCGACCGAUCCUGAUGUUCUCGGAUGGAUUUGAGUAAGAGCAUACGGGGCCGGACCCGAAAGAAGGUGAACUAUGCCUGUAUAGGGUGAAGCCAGAGGAAACUCUGGUGGAGGCUCGCAGCGGUUCUGACGUGCAAAUCGAUCGUCAAAUAUGGGCAUGGGGGCGAAAGACUAAUCGAACCUUCUAGUAGCUGGUUUCCGCCGAAGUU
rnacentral:rRNA from 1 species